CCCGAGAUAGGAUGUGCUCCGUAGAGCAGUGCGUCUGCGCUGUCCGUGCGCUCGCGUCGGCCCUUGAAAUCCGAGUGAGGGAGUGUGAUUUCGUGCCGGACCGUACCCACAUCCGCAGCAGGUCUCCAAGGUGAACAGCCUCUAGUCGAUGGACCAAUGUAGGUAAGGGAAGUCGGCAAAACGGAUCCGUAACCUUGGGAUAAGGAUUGGCUCUGAGGACUCAGCCGGUCGGGCUGGGGACCUGAAGCAGGAACGGCACUGCACCGGGACUGGGCGGGGCUCGCCGUUGACGCGGCGCGGCCAAGCCCGGACCAGCGUCGGGACCUUCCUGUGGAAAGCCUCAGCUGCGCGGCGUCCGAGGGCUUCGUGCCCAAAGUGCUAUGCUUCGGCCGGCAAAAAACAGUCAACUCAGAACUGGCACGGACCGGGGGAAUCCGACUGUCUAAUUAAAACAAAGCAUUGCGAUGGCCGCUGGUCGGUGUUGACGCAAUGUGAUUUCUGCCCAGUGCUCUGAAUGUCAACGUGAAGAGAUUCAUCAAAGCGCGGGUAAACGGCGGGAGUAACUAUGACUCUCUUGUCGGGUCGGCCUGCAUGCCGUCCCCUCGGGGUGAGACGUCGUAGUUGCUUGCUUGCACAGAAAUCCAACUCUCACCUGCUCGUGGUGUCCGCUGCCAGUGGAGUACGCCGAUGAAAGGGAUGCAAUACCCUGGCUGCUUCUCUGCAACGAGAGCUCUGGUAGUACCCUUUGCGGGUACUAGAGU
rnacentral:ncRNA from 1 species